rnacentral:lncRNA from 1 species
GUGCAACAUGUUCGUGUCAGUCAAGUGAAGCAACUAGAAUUGGAUAUAGUUUACUUGAUGGGACACGUCUAUUGUACGACAUAUUCACGUGCGGGCAGCUUGCAGAUUAAAGUAAUUAAUUACUAGCAGCAUGUGAAGAUAUAGACAGUUGUGGCAGCAUCAUAUAUAUGUAUGCAUGCUUCUGAGCUCACUUCCUACAUCAUGCAUGAACUGUUUUCACAUAUGAUCCUGCGACGCGAACACCUUCCCCACGU